CAGAGGGGGCAAGCGUUGUUCGGAAUUACUGGGCGUAAAGGGCGCGUAGGCGGCCUGCUAAGUCGAACGUGAAAUCCCUGGGCUCAACCCAGGAACUGCGUCCGAUACUGGUUGGCUUGAAUCCGGGAGAGGGACGUGGAAUUCCAGGUGUAGCGGUGAAAUGCGUAGAUAUCUGGAGGAACACCGGUGGCGAAGGCGACGUCCUGGACCGGUAUUGACGCUGAGGCGCGAAAGCCAGGGGAGCAAACGGGAUUAGAUACCCCGGUAGUCCUGGCCCUAAACGAUGAAUGCUUGGUGUGGCGGGUAUCGAUCCCUGCCGUGCCGAAGCUAACGCAUUAAGCAUUCCGCCUGGGGAGUACGGUCGCAAGGCUG
rnacentral:rRNA from 1 species